rnacentral:rRNA from 1 species
UUAUGGCUCAGGACGAACGCUGGCGGCGUGCCUAAUACAUGCAAGUCGAACGGUCUUUCUAUGGAAGCUUGCUUCCACUGAGAAGAUAGUGGCGAACGGGUGAGUAACACGUGGGUAACCUGCCCAUAAGAGGGGGAUAACAUCCGGAAACGGGUGCUAAUACCGCAUAGUUUUCUUGAUCGCAUGAUCGGGAAAGGAAAGACGGCCUUUGUGCUGUCGCUUAUGGAUGGACCCGCGGCGUAUUAGUUAGUUGGUGAGGUAACGGCUCACCAAGACGAUGAUACGUAGCCGACCUGAGAGGGUGAUCGGCCACAUUGGGACUGAGACACGGCCCAAACUCCUACGGGAGGCAGCAGUAGGGAAUCUUCCGCAAUGGACGAAAGUCUGACGGAGCAACGCCGCGUGAGUGAAGAAAGGUUUUCGGAUCGUAAAACUCUGUUGUCAGAGAAGAACAAGUCGGAGAGUAACUGCUCCGGCCUUGACGGUAUCUGACCAGAAAGCCACGGCUAACUACGUGCCAGCAGCGGC